rnacentral:rRNA from 1 species
GUACACUCCUACGGGAGGCAGCAGUAGGGAAUCUUCCACAAUGGGUGCAAACCUGAUGGAGCAAUGCCGCGUGAGUGAAGAAGGUCUUCGGAUCGUAAAGCUCUGUUGUUAGAGAAGAACACGUGCUAGGUAACUACUAGCGCCUUGACGGUAUCUAACCAGAAAGUCACGGCUAACUACGUGCCAGCAGCCGCGGUAAUACGUAGGUGACAAGCGUUGUCCGGAUUUAUUGGGCGUAAAGGGAGCGCAGGCGGUCUGUUUAGUCUAAUGUGAAAGCCCACGGCUUAACCGUGGAACGGCAUUGGAAACUGACAGACUUGAAUGUAGAAGAGGAAAAUGGAAUUCCAAGUGUAGCGGUGGAAUGCGUAGAUAUUUGGAGGAACACCAGUGGCGAAGGCGAUUUUCUGGUCUAACAUUGACGCUGAGGCUCGAAAGCGUGGGGAGCGAACAGGAUUAGAUACCCCUGUAGUCC